rnacentral:rRNA from 1 species
UACGAAGGGGGCUAGCGUUGCUCGGAAUCACUGGGCGUAAAGCGCACGUAGGUGGCUUUCUAAGUCAGGGGUGAAAUCCUGGAACUCAACUCCAGAACUGCCUUUGAUACUGGAGAGCUUGAGUCCGGAAGAGGUGAGUGGAACUCCGAGUGUAGAGGUGAAAUUCGUAGAUAUUCGGAAGAACACCAGUGGCGAAGGCGGCUCACUGGUCCGGUACUGACGCUGAGGUGCGAAAGCGUGGGGAGCAAACAGG